GUGUCUUUCGAUGGUGAUAUGAAUGUAUGCAUGUAUUCUUCUAUGUCUUCCUUCUAUUCUCCCUCUACUGAUAUCACUAUUUUCACAUCAAAGUUCACAACACAUACUAGGUAAGAUUAAGCAUGUUUUAAUUGAGCUUUUUUCAGUGAUCUUUCUUUUCAUCAAAGUUGAAGUUCCAAAUUUGAUUUGGCUGUGCGAAUGUUCUCUUAUUUUCCCAUUUGAGAUUCUUAUUGAUGUUGGAUUAUCCUUUUGGUUGGGUGAUUAAGUUUGAUUUAGGUGUGUGAAUAUAUAAAAUUUGAUUUGGGUAUGUGUUGUAUGGAGGUUUAUAAGAGAUGGAUUAGAAGGAAUAAAGGUUUUGUACGUCAAUUGGAUUCUAUUGUCAAUGUAAGAACAAUUUUUUUAAUUUUUUUAAAAGUUCUCUGCUUGUUUAUUGUGUGAAAACAAGAAUGUAAUGGGAUUUCAUUUUUAAUAUAGAAAUGGUGGAUAGGUGUAGUUUAUAAAUUUCAUUUCUGUGCUUAAAUGGGUUUUUUGUUUCCCUUUCAAAGUUUGUAUCUUUGAUUAGUUUUGUGUUUGUUUGAGCCUCUGUUCAUAUAUGAAAAAAUCAUAUAUUUUCAGAUGCAAUAGAUUUUGGUUGUCUUUUGUUACAUGUAUAUUUUGAUUUUCUUUUCAACUUCCUCUGUUCAUAUAUGGGUUUUCCCCAUUUGAAUUAAUUUUCUGGAUUUUUGUGAUGUUUGAUUUUUCUUGUGUUUGGAGUCUUUUUUGAUUCUGAAGCUCAUCUCUCAUCUCACAUGGCUGAAUUCAAAGAAUUCUACCACUUAUUAAUACAUAUGGAAUCUCCGUAAUGCGAUUCUAUUUACUGUUUCAACCCAGGAUGAGGUAGUUUUACUCAAGAUAAGUCAACCCAAAUUGCUCCUAAGCCUAUUCAUGUAACCCUUUUGUUUAUUUGUAUUUUUCUUUCUUGGAUUGUUGGCAUACAAAUUGAAGAGUUUCUGUGUAUUUCUUAUUGGUUCUGAUAAGGAAAAAAAAGAAUGACAAGUCACGUUGUCAAAGAGGAGUUUCUCUUCUCUAUUUCUUUUUUCCUAUUUUGUUGUUUUCCACUUUAAUUUGUUUUGUACGAUUACUUUGUUGUUAUGUUGUUUCUUUUCUCACCUCUCUUUCUACCGUUUAUAUUUUCGCCUCAUUUUCCAUAUUUCUUUUCUGGUAAACUUUUGUUUAUCAGAAUUCCUAACAACUAUUGUUUGAUGAAUGCAAAUUACAAAAAAUACUAAAUUCAUUCUACAAUUAUUUCACGAUGCAGGGUGAAGUUAAAAUUUGCAGUUAUUACAAUUAAAGCUUCGGCUACAGGUAUGUCCUUUCCUAUCCGUUUAUUAUGAUUUCUUUUUCUCUCAUUCCUCAUUUUAUCUCAUUCUUUAGUGUCUGUCCAGUCACACUGUUCUGCUCUAUUUUGAUUGAUAGAAGAUUUGGGUGUGUCUGAGAGAGUUUAAGGAUAAAAAGUUAUUGUUUUGCUACUGAUGAAGAGGAAAAUUACUAGAAAAUUAACAGAAUGUAUCUAGACAAAGUAAGAAACAAUAAAAAGCUGGUAUAAAUGGAAACAUGAUCUUACAGCCAUAGUUAUAUCACUUAAAUGAAUUGGAUGUUUAAUAUAAUUUUUCCAAUCAAACUUCUUACUUUCGCAAUGUGGAUUAGACAUUUCUUGAUUUUUGGAUGGGCUGAAAUUUCGCAAAUCAUUGAUGUAUUGUUCGUACUAGAAGUAGUGAUAGUAUUAUCACAAUCUAAUACAUACUUUUCAUGUGUGUCUAUUAUAUUUAAGUGUCUUAACAUAUAUGUAUAUGUAUAUAUGUGUGUGCGUGUAGAUAUAGAUUAUAGAUUAUAGUAUAGUAAAUAGUAAGUAACAUUAGAGAUGAAAUUGCAUUAAAUAAGAUUUCUGGAAAAGUAUGAUUAGUGCAUAUAAAUGAAAUGUUGAAAGUAACUGGUUAUGACUGGUAUUAAGAUGACAAAUAUUUUCAGCAGAAAAAAACCUCUUGAGGAACUCUAUUACCUAGAUAAGUAAGAAUUUCUCAUGUCCAUGGCUACAAAACCAUUCUUCCAAACUUGGUAGGGGUCUAUCAGUAUGUACACACAUACAUCAUCCACCACUCCAAUCCCCACUUCUCAUUUUCUUUUAUAAAAAAAAAUAUUGCUACUUAUCGAAUUAGCUUUACACAUAUUUCAAUUAUUUCACAUUAUUACUUAAAAUAUGAAUUUUAUUGAUUAUCUAAAGAGCAAAGCAGAAAAACGAGUUUAAAUAUUGAUAUUAUAGGCAAUAUGGCAAAUUGUGUUUAUGACUUGAUAAAAAUUUAAGAAAAUAUAAUUUGUACAUUGCCACUGUUAUUUUCUCCCAACUUUUAAAACAAGACUAGUAUCCUGAUUAGAGAACUUCUAUCAACUAUGCUAUAAGCAACUAUACUUAUCUGAGCUCAUAGAAACUGCAAUAUGUUAACAAUGUCAUUAUGAUUUGUCGCAUGACACUUAUAUUUCCAUUUGAGUAUUUAAACCUAAUAAGUUUGUUGUUUUGUUUGUCUAAGCUUCCAUAUACUCAUAUGGAUAUGCGCUAAUUUCAUACAUUUAAGGUGAACUAUUAGAUAUGAUAUUUGAUCGAUACAAAUUGUAGAAAAUACUAAAUUCAUUUUACAAUUACUAAAUUGUAUGUUCUUAAACAAGUAUAAUUAUUAGGAAUUAAGAGUUAUUUGGAUUGGAAUACUCAGGUUGGGUGUCUAAGUUAGUAAUACAAUUUGUAUCUUUGUGCUAAAUAGAUCAAGUGAUCAACUUGAUAACUCUACUAUGAAUGCGCUAGAAAGCUUGGUUCAGUUUAUCCUACUUUUGAGGAAUUUUCUUCUGAGUCCUUUUCAGUUACUACUACGUACAAAUAAAACAAAGGGAAAAGGAAAACUUAUCACCACAAUAUAGGAAUCGAUUUCGAGAAAAAGUUUAACCAAUAAGCAUAAGACAUCUAAAAGAAAACUAUAUGAGGUAAUUACCAUUUAUCGUACUAUGAAUGCGCCAGAAAGCUUGGUUCAAUUUAUCCUACUUUUGAGGAAUUUUCUUCUGAGUCCUUUUCAGUUACUACUACGUACAAAUAAAACAAAGGGAAAAGGAAAACUUAUCACCACAAUAUAGGAAUCGAUUUCGAGAAAAAGUUUAACCAAUAAGCAUAAGACAUCUAAAAGAAAACUAUAUGAGGUAAUUACCAUUUAUCGUGCCCUUAAAUUGUCCAAUUUAUUUGUCCAGCAACAUAGCCCCAUAUUGAUUGAAAGGUGUGUGGGAUAACAUUUUAGUCAUUUCUUCUACUUUCAUUUCUUGAUUUUUUUCAAGAAACAGGAAAGUUAUGAUAUAGUCUUCUAAAAAAUAAUGCCUUAGAUUCUUAAUUUUUAAAUGUCUUCUUCUUUUCAGUCGUUAAGAAAUCAUGAAUGAGAUUGUGAAAGAUGCAUUUGAAUUAUGUGAACCUGCUUUUCAGGGUAAGAGUAAUGACAUGAGUAAGAGGAAAAUUAAGAGAAAGAGUACGGAAACAAGCUUAUAUUCCCUGAUCCAGUCACUUGAUACUAUUGAUUGUAAGGAUUUACAUUACUUUUGAUUUAACUGUAUACAUUGAUUUAACUAUUUAGUUGAGUUAAUGUACUUUCUUGCAGUAAAUCCUUCAUACAACUAAUGGUGAUCAUUUCAUUUAUAAGGCAAAUCUCGUGUUAGAUAUUCAGCUUGGUAAUUUUUUAUUAGUUGAGCUUGUCAUUUUCAAUCACUAAUUUUCUAUUGAGAUCAGUAACUUUGUUGCCUUAAAUAUUUUGUCUUCUUCUUAGCUUAUUCUCAAUACUAAAAAGAAUUCAACUGGAGUACUUUAAGAAGGGUCGUUGAAUGAGCUAAAACUUUGAUGAACCUAUAUACUUUUGGCUGAAUAAUUCUUGAAGGUUUGUUAUCUCCUCAAGUAUUUCUAUUAGUUGUAUGAUUUUGUGGAGUUUAAGUUGAGUUUCAUUGUUGUGAGUUGCUUAAUCUUUGUAUCUUAGGUAGGUUAGGAAACUUGAUGCCAAACCCCUACAGAUAAUCAAUGACUAUCCUGUCUACAAGCACAUUCUUAUUUCUUAUCCUUGAUUGGUAAGGUGCGUGUUAAAGUCAUUCAUGUAUAUUGAAUUUGUUGCAUCAGCAGAGAACUCUAGGGUAAUUAACAGGGGAAAAAGUUAGAUUUGGUGAAUUCAUAGCAAAGAAAGAAAACAAAGGGUCAUACUUGAUAUACAUUUGUAGUAAAAAAACUUGAAUGGAAAUAGAGGACGUUGUUACCACUUUAAUCAUCCUUAGUCUUUCUUCUUGGCUUCGGAGUCAAUAAGAUAUUCCUGAGAUUGUAAGUUUAAAAAACGAAACAAAUGAGAAUAUAGUUGAGAUAGCAAAGUUGAAACUCAAUGUGGAUAUAACUGUUAUAUAUACUUAAACAGUGACCUAGCGUUGAAAUAUUAACGGUAACAAGUCUUAUUAUCUAAAUGAAAACAGUCUCUCCAGAGUAUAUGAAAAAGAGGAUUUGCUAUAUUUAGCAUCAGUGCUCAAUGAACUAUUUAGGUAGUUGAAACAUUAAAGCUUGCGUUAAUACCUGCAAGUUGCCAACUUAUAGCAUAAGCAACGAUCUUGAGAUAUCGUUCAGACAAUAGGUUUUCUCAUUCAUUUGUAAAAACUUAUAAAUUUCGCGUAGCGGUAUGUGGCAAAGAGAAUGCAACUUUGGGAGCACCAUAACUAUUCAUUCACACUUUCAGCAGUACUGAGAUAUUGACCCAUUUUUCUUACUUUUAGUCGCCUUUGUCGAGGAAUGCUCUACAAUAUUCAUUACGUAUUGAUAGUUUCUAUCAAGUUGUUGUUAGCUUGAGCUAUCCAAGUUGCUUCAGACUAAAUGUUUGGAUGAUACAAGGUAAAAUCUUGCAGCUAUACCGUUGAUACAAGAGGCUAACUGUUUGAAUGACACAAGGUAAAAAUGAUGCAAUUAUACUAUUGGUAUGAGCUACAAAGUCUUACAUCAAAUAUUGCAGAUAGCCAUGAAAAUUUAUCUUUUCACCUUGCACAAGCUUGGGAGGAUAUUGCUCUUUUGAGUACUCUUGGUGCACAUUAUAGUGAACUUUUAUAUGUUGGUGAAAUCAUUAUUCCAUCAUAACUAAGAAAGAUUUACAAAAGGGUAGUAAUUCAGUUGGCAUCUACUAAUUAUAGGAUUCACUCUUAUCUUAAAAACAUGAUGUGGGUGAAUUACUCGCUUGCAUUUUCUCCUUCACAAAUUGGAGAUGAAUAUUUCCUCUAGAUAAGGUCUAUAUAUACUUGUUUAAUUCUACCACAAUGACUUUGAUAGAAUGAUGGCAAACUUAUAUUUAUUCUUUCUAAUUCUAUGUUGUAGUGAGCUCUGUCUUUCUUUUGUUAUGUUCUUUUUUCCCACUUUUGAAUUGACAAGUUCUUCGACCUUCUUGAUUUUAUCCUUGGUAUUACAGAGUUUGUUGAGUUGUAACAGCCAAACUUAUUAUGUAUAUGACUCAUUGCUUAUUGAUUGUAAAGAGUUUGUUUGAUAAGGA
rnacentral:lncRNA from 1 species